UAUGGCAAGUUAUAUUUGCAUGAUUUAGCAUAAUUCAUUAAUCAUUACCGGUGGCUCGCGCAUGUGACUGACCAAUACCUCACAAGGCUUUCUCUCUCCAAGUUGAGACCUUGAAACUGAGAUACCUCGGUUGUUUCCAUAGCAACAUUCUGGGCGUACUGCCAAGUUGCUUAUCAGUGACAGUGAGGAUUCCUCCAUGCACGAUCAGUCAGUCACCUGCAUGAACCCAUCGAAUUGGUUCAGAGAAAAGCAGCAUUGAUUUGAUAGACCGCUCCUGUCUCAGCCUCCAGUAUUUAUGCUGCAGUAGUUUAUGUGUCGGGGGGCUAGGGUCAGUUGGUUAUACCUGGAGUACUUCUCCUGUCUUAUCCAGUGUCCUGUGUGAAUUUAAGUAUGCUCUCUCUAAUUCUCUCGUUCUCUCUUUCUCUCUGAGAACCUGAGCCCUAGGACCAUACGUCAGGACUACCGGGCAUGCUGACACCUUGCUGUCCCCAGUCCGCCCGGCCUUGCUGCUAUUCCAGUUUCAACUGUUUCUGCCUGCGGUUACGAAACCCCCACCUGUCCCAGACCUGCUGUUUUCAACUCUUAAUGAUCGGCUAUGAAAAGCCAACUGAGAUUUAUUCCUGAUUAUUAUUUGACCAUGCUUGUCAUUUAUGAACAUUUUGAAAAUCUUGGCUCUCUCUAAUUUUCUCCUUCUCUCUUUCUUUCUCUCGGAGGACCUGAGCCCUAGGACCAUACGUCGGGACUACCGGCCGUGGUGACUCCUUGCUGCCCUCAGUCCGCCUGGCCUUGCUGCUAUUCCAGUUUCAACUCUUCUGCCUGCGGUUAUGGAACCCCUACCUGUCCCAGACCUGCUGUUUUCAACUCUUAAUGAUCGGCUAUGAAAAGCCAACUGAGAUUUAUUCCUGAUUAUUAUUUGACCAUGCUUGUCAUUUAUGAACAUUUUGAAAAUCUUGGCUCUCUCUAAUUUUCUCCUUCUCUCUUUCUUUCUCUCGGAGGACCUGGGCCCUAGGACCAUGCGUCGGGACUGCCGCCCGUGGUGACUCCUUGCUGUCCCCAGUCCGCCUGGCCUUGCUGCUAUUCCAGUUUCAGCUGUUCUGCCUGCGGUUAUGGAACCGCCACCUGUCCCAGACCUGUUGUUUUUCAACUCUUAAUGAUCAGCUAUGAAAAGCCAACUGAAAAUUAUUCAUGAUUAUUAUUUGACCAUGCUUGUCACUUAUGAACAUUUUUGAACAUCUUGGCAUAGUUCUGUUAUAAUCUCCACCCGGCACAGCCAGAAGAGGACUGGCCACCCCUCAUAGCCUGGUUCCUCUCUAGGUUUCUUCCUAGGUUUUGGCCUUUCUAGGGAGUUUUUCCUAGCCACCGUGCUUCUACACCUGCAUUCUAGCUGUUUGGGGUUUUAGGCUGGGUUUCUGUACAGCACUUCGAGAUAUUAUCUGAUGUACGAAGGGCUAUAUAAAAUAAAAUUGAUUGAAAAUUGAUUGAUACAAACAUAACAUUUCCCUCACAGUACUUUGAGAUCACUGAAACCCCACCUGAUGUGGUGGAAGAUCAGAACGCCUUCGAGGACCACUUUCAGACACGGGCUGAGAAGGAUGUGGAGGUAUUUGACCAGUUGAGACUGAACAUGGACAAGGCGCCAGGAGAAAAAGAAGGAGAGCCACCGGAGGAGAAUCAAGGGGACUAAGUGCUUUGGCAUCUGGGCGAAUGACUUGGCUUGGAAGAAAGACGAAAGGAAGGAUCUAGGGGUUCUGCCCAACACCCAGACAUGGAUCCACCUGAUGUCCUCCAUUACCAACCACCCUCCAACUUUUCAUUACAUCAGCUACUGUUAUUAUCAUGUUGUCAUUAUCUGCUAAGAAAGAGCAAGAAAACUAUCAUACUGGGCACAUAAUGUGAGCUGCACAGAUUAGCUAAAAACACGAGCACUGCAAACACUCAGAACAAAGAGAGCAGCAGCGCCUGGACUUUGCAGUCUCCCUCUUCCGAGACUGACUACCUGUUGAAAACCAGUGACGGGCAGAACCUCCCAUCCACACAGCACCCACCACCUCUCUAUUCACCUAUCUACCAGAAUUCCGUAUUUCAGUCAUACGUAUUCUAUCUUUUUGGUCUUUUGCGGUAACCUACCACUAAUAUUCUAAAUUGCGGAGCAUUUAAUAAACCAACCAUACUUUCCUGUGAUGUUGAGGCUGAGCAAGACCUUCAAUAGGCUAGUAGACUAUGCGGAAAUAAUCGUGUAGUUAUUCAUUGAUAUAGCCUAGAUCGCUUUAUAUAAUCUGGACCAUUGUUUGUUCUAAGUCUAAGCAAACAAGGGCUAUCAAAUCAAAUCAAAUGUUAUUGGUCACAUGCACAUGGUUAGCAGAUGUUAAAGCGAGUGAAGUGAAAUGCUCAUGCUUCUAGUUCCAACAGUGCAGUAAUAUCUAACAAGUAAUCUAACAAAUUCACAACAACUACCUUAUACAAACAAAUGUAAAGGAAUGAAUAAGAAUAUGUACAUAUAAAUAUAUGGAUGAGCGAUGGCUGUGCGGCAUAGGCAAAAUGCAGUAGAUGGCAUAUGAGAUGAGGAAUGUAGGAUAUGUAAACAUUAUUUAAGUGGCAUUAUUUAAAGUGACUAGUGAUACCUUGAUUAAAUCCAUUUAUUCAAGUG